rnacentral:rRNA from 1 species
UGGGGAAUCUUAGACAAUGGGGGGAACCCUGAUCUAGCCAUGCCGCGUGAGUGACGAAGGCCCUAGGGUCGUAAAGCUCUUUCAGCUGUGAAGAUAAUGACGGUAGCAGCAGAAGAAACCCCGGCUAACUCCGUGCCAGCAGCCGCGGUAAUACGGAGGGGGAUAGCGUUGUUCGGAAUUACUGGGCGUAAAGCGCGCGUAGGCGGACUAGUUAGUCAGAGGUGAAAUCCGAGGGCUCAACCCUGGAACUGCCUUUGAUACUGCUAGUCUUGAGUUCGAGAGAGGUGAGUGGAAUUCCGAGUGUAGAGGUGAAAUUCGUAGAUAUUCGGAGGAACACCAGUGGCGAAGGCGGCUCACUGGCUCGAUACUGACGCUGAGGUGCGAAAGUGUGGGGAGCAAACAGGAUUAGAUACCCGCGUAGUCC